rnacentral:rRNA from 1 species
ACGGAGGGUGCGAGCGUUGUCCGGAAUCACUGGGCGUAAAGGGCGCGUAGGUGGCCCGUUAAGUGGCUGGUGAAAUCCCGCGGCUCAACUGCGGGGCUGCCGGUCAUACUGGCGAGCUGGAGCACGGUAGGGGCAGAUGGAAUUCCCGGUGUAGCGGUGGAAUGCGUAGAGAUCGGGAGGAAGGCCGGUGGCGAAGGCGGCGCUCUGGAACAUUUCUGACGCUGAGGCUCGAAAGCGUGGGGAGCAAACAGGA